rnacentral:rRNA from 1 species
GAUGAACGCUGGCGGCGUGCCUAAUACAUGCAAGUCGAGCGAACAGACGAGGAGCUUGCUCCUCUGACGUUAGCGGCGGACGGGUGAGUAACACGUGGAUAACCUACCUAUAAUACUGGGAUAACUUGGGGAAACCGGAGCUAAUACCGGAUAAUAUAUUGAACCGCAUGGUUCAAUAGUGAAAGACGGUUUUGCUGUCACUUAUAGAUGGAUCCGCGCCGCAUUAGCUAGUUGGUAAGGUAACGGCUUACCAAGGCAACGAUGCGUAGCCGACCUGAGAGGGUGAUCGGCCACACUGGAACUGAGACACGGUCCAGACUCCUACGGGAGGCAGCAGUAGGGAAUCUUCCGCAAUGGGCGAAAGCCUGACGGAGCAACGCCGCGUGAGUGAUGAAGGUCUUCGGAUCGUAAAACUCUGUUAUUAGGGAAGAACAAAUGUGUAAGUAACUAUGCACGUCUUGACGGUACCUAAUCAGAAAGCCACGGCUAACUACGUG